rnacentral:lncRNA from 1 species
ACAUAGUUUUAGAUCUGAAAAAUCUCGCAUAAACUAAAAUAAAAUCAAUCAUAACAAAUUUUAGAUCAUAUCUAAAUAUUUUAUGAUUCUAAAUUUUAUUCUCAUGGUUAAAAUAAUUUUAAUCAUAUAGAUUAGAUGAUCUACUUUUCAUACAACUCAUGUUUUGUAUCACAUACAAUAAAUCCUAAGAUUUCAUCAUCUAGGAUUUUGUAGAAAAAUAAGUUCUUCCUUUAAUUUUCUUCUUUAUGGGAUUAAAUUACAUAGCACCCCUACACAU